rnacentral:rRNA from 1 species
UAGUGGCGAACGGGUGAGUAACACGUGAGUAACCUGCCCUUGACUCUGGGAUAAGCCUGGGAAACUGGGUCUAAUACUGGAUACGACCUUCCCACGCAUGUGGUGUUGGUGGAAAGCUUUUGUGGUUUUGGAUGGACUCGCGGCCUAUCAGCUUGUUGGUGGGGUAAUGGCCUACCAAGGCGACGACGGGUAGCCGGCCUGAGAGGGUGGACGGCCACACUGGGACUGAGACACGGCCCAGACUCCUACGGGAGGCAGCAGUGGGGAAUAUUGCACAAUGGGCGCAAGCCUGAUGCAGCGACGNCGCGUGAGGGAUGAAGGCCUUCGGGUUGUAAACCUCUUUCAGUAGGGAAGAAGCGAAAGUGACGGUACCUGCNGAAGAAGCGCCGGCUAACUACGUGCCAGCAGCCGCGGUAAUACGUAGGGCGCAAGCGUUAUC